rnacentral:rRNA from 1 species
GAUGAACGCUGGCGGCGUGCUUAACACAUGCAAGUCUAACGAUGAAGCCCAGCUUGCUGGGUGGAUUAGUGGCGAACGGGUGAGUAACACGUGAGUAACCUGCCCUUAACUCUGGGAUAAGCCUGGGAAACUGGGUCUAAUACCGGAUAGGAGCGCCUACCGCAUGGUGGGUGUUGGAAAGAUUUAUCGGUUUUGGAUGGACUCGCGGCCUAUCAGCUUGUUGGUGAGGUAAUGGCUCACCAAGGCGACGACGGGUAGCCGGCCUGAGAGGGUGACCGGCCACACUGGGACUGAGACACGGCCCAGACUCCUACGGGAGGCAGCAGUGGGGAAUAUUGCACAAUGGGCGAAGGCCUGAUGCAGCGACGCCGCGUGAGGGAUGACGGCCUUCGGGUUGUAAACCUCUUUCAGUAGGGAAGAAGCGAAAGUGACGGUACCUGCAGAAGAAGCACCGGCUAACUACGUG